rnacentral:rRNA from 1 species
CCUACGGGGGGCUGCAGUAAGGAAUAUUGGACAAUGGGCGGAAGCCUGAUCCAGCCAUGCCGCGUGAAGGAAGAAGGCGCUCAGCGUUGUAAACUUCUUUUAAAUGGGAACAAUAACUCCGACGCGCUCGGGGCUUGAGGGUACCAUUAGAAUAAGCACCGGCUAACUCCGUGCCAGCAGCCGCGGUAAUACGGAGGGUGCAAGCGUUAUCCGGAAUCACUGGGUUUAAAGGGUGCGUAGGCUGUUUGAUAAGUCAGUUGUGAAAUACCCCGGCUUAACCGGCGGUCGUGCGAUUGAUACUGUCAGACUUGAAUCAGGUUGAGGUAGGCGGAAUGUGGCAUGUAGCGGUGAAAUGCAUAGAUAUGCCAUAGAACACCGAUUGCGAAGGCAGCUUGCUGGACCUUGAUUGACGCUGAGGCACGAAAGCGUGGGGAGCAAACAGGAUUAGAUACCCCAGUAGUC